rnacentral:ncRNA from 1 species
UCCGUUCGGGUCCGUGGUUGCGUCGACAGGUUGCUCACCGAGCCCUGUGGGCAAGCCGAAGCCAGUCGCAGGCGAAACGGUCCACGUAAGUCCACGGUCAGGAGCUCGCUCCCGGUCGGCGGACGAUCACGGUGCGGCUUAGAAGUAAGUCCUGCCCCGGCCUCGUCGUCAGAUACGACGAUUCGUCGGGAGACGGUGGGUAGUGGCAUCAAGCCGCGAGAGCUGCAGCAGGCGAUUGUGGGGUCGAAGACCAGGUCGGCCGAACGGA